rnacentral:rRNA from 1 species
AGUGAACGCUGGCGGUAGGCCUAACACAUGCAAGUCGAACGGCAGCACAGUAAGAGCUUGCUCUUACGGGUGGCGAGUGGCGGACGGGUGAGGAAUACAUCGGAAUCUACUUUUUCGUGGGGGAUAACGUAGGGAAACUUACGCUAAUACCGCAUACGACCUACGGGUGAAAGCAGGGGAUCUUCGGACCUUGCGCGAUUGAAUGAGCCGAUGUCGGAUUAGCUAGUUGGCGGGGUAAAGGCCCACCAAGGCGACGAUCCGUAGCUGGUCUGAGAGGAUGAUCAGCCACACGGGAACUGAGACACGGUCCAGACUCCUACGGGAGGCAGCAGUGGGGAAUAUUGGACAAUGGGCGCAAGCCUGAUCCAGCCAUGCCGCGUGGGUGAAGAAGGCCUUCGGGUUGUAAAGCCCUUUUGUUGGGAAAGAAGAGCAGCAGGUUAAUACCCCGCUGUUCUGACGGUACCCAAAGAAUAAGCACCGGCUAACUUCGUG